rnacentral:rRNA from 1 species
GACGAACGCUGGCGGCGUGCCUAAUACAUGCAAGUGAAGUUCAGUGGCGGACGGGUGAGUAAUGUAUGGGGACUGACCGAGAGAGGGGGAGAACGACUGGAAACGGUAGCUAGUACCGCAUACUAUCGGAUACACCAUAUGGGAUUAGUUAGUAGGUGGGGUAAUGGCUCACCGAGGCGACGAUACCUAGCUGGUCUGAGAGGAUGAUCAGCCACACUGGGACUGAGACACGGCCCAGACUCCUACGGAGGCAGCAGUGGGGAAUAUUGCACAAUGGGCGCAAGCCUGAUGCAGCCAUGCCGCGUGUAUGAAGAAGGCCCUAGGGUUGUAAAGUACUUUCAGUCGGGAGGCGUUACCGACAGAAGAAGCACCGGCUAACUCCGUGCCAGCAGCCGCGGUAAUAC